UACGUAGGGCGCAAGCGUUAUCCGGAAUUAUUGGGCGUAAAGAGCUCGUAGGCGGCUUGUUGCGUCGGCUGUGAAAACCUGCGGCUCAACCGUGUGGUCUGCAGUCGAUACGGGCAGGCUAGAGUUCGGAAGAGGGUCGUGGAAUUCCCAGUGUAGAGGUGAAAUUCGUAGAUAUUGGGAAGAACACCGGUGGCGAAGGCGGCGACCUGGUCCGAUACUGACGCUGAGGCGCGAAAGCGUGGGGAGCAAACAGG
rnacentral:rRNA from 1 species